CUGUUCGAGCGUCAGUACAACACUCAAGCCCAGCUUGGUCUUGAGCCCAGCCGGUUACGGCGGGCUUUAAAAUCAGUGGCGGCGCAUCUGGCUCUAAGCGUAGUAAUACUCCUCGCUAUUGAGUCACGGUGGAUGCUGGCUAGCAACCCCCAACUUCCAAGUUUGACCUCGGAUCAGGUAGGGAUACCCGCUGAACUUAA
rnacentral:misc_RNA from 1 species